rnacentral:rRNA from 1 species
GAUGAACGCUAGCGGCAGGCUUAAUACAUGCAAGUCGAGGGGCAGCAGUCCCGCAGCAAUGCGGGAGCUGGCGACCGGCAAACGGGUGCGGAACACGUACAGAACCUUCCUUCGAGCGGGGAAUAGCCCAGAGAAAUUUGGAUUAAUACCCCAUAGCAUUACGAAGUGGCAUCACUUUGUAAUUAAAGAUUUAUCACUCGAAGAUGGCUGUGCGGCUGAUUAGGUAGUUGGCGGAGUAACGGCCCACCAAGCCUUCGAUCAGUAACUGGUGUGAGAGCACGACCAGUCACACGGGCACUGAGACACGGGCCCACUCCUACGGGAGGCAGCAGUAAGGAAUAUUGGUCAAUGGACGAAAGUCUGAACCAGCCAUGCCGCGUGGAGGA